rfam:Mustela putorius furo unplaced genomic scaffold scaffold00027, whole genome shotgun sequence.
GUCUACGGCCAUACCACCCUGAACGCGCCCGAUCUCGUCUGAUCUCGGAAGCUAAGCAGGGUCGGUCCUGGUUAGUACUUGGAUGGGAAGGGGAAUGGUGAGUGGUGAGUAAUUGCUGGUGGGUGUGUAGU